CCCACUCAAGAGCAAUUUCAACUUUUUAUAUGAGGUAAAUGGUUUUACUAACUUCAUCAAUUUAACUCGAUGUAAGUAUAGAUUUUAGAAACUAUUAGGUGUAAGUGUAAUAAAUGAAAAUUUUGGAGGAAUUUUUGUAAUUUAAUUUAAAAUCAAUUAUAUAUUUUUAUUUAUUUGAAUGUAUGCCUAUAAUAAAAUAUGUAACUUAUGCAAAUUUAGGUCAAAUUCGAGCAUAAAAUCCUCAAAUCCAAAUCCAAUAUGAAAAUUUCAACAUAUUGAAAUAAGAAUAUUGAGAUCGAUAUAUGGUAAUACAAAAAAAGAUAGAAUAAGAAAGGAAGGUAUUUCUGAAAA
rnacentral:lncRNA from 1 species